AAGUCCAAAUCAAAAGAGGAUGUAGAUAGUAAAGGUAAAUCUAAAGCCAAGAAAAAGGAACCAGCCUCCAUGUUUCAGAUAAAUGGAGACAAGCCUGAAACCAAGAGUAAAAAGAAAGCUGCCAAAUCUGAGAGUGAAGAUGAGAGCGAACCAGAAACCAAAACCAGCAAGACGAAGAAGAAAAGCAGCUCAAACCCAGCGUCCAUGUUUCAGACCGGAGGGGACAAAGACAAGGACAAAAAGACAAAAAAGACC